CUAAAAGAAGGGAAGAUGUGACGGCAGCUCCAUUGAACAAUUUCUCUAAGUACAGACAGGCACCGCUUUCCACCCUCUGGUCACGUUCCACCUCCCAUUCUCAGGAAUUCUCUGGUAGGUGCACCUUGUUCAGAUAAGAACUGCACAGCAUUUCUUCGUGGGCCCCUGCAAGCCAUCCUUUGCAAUGGCACAGCCUCUAAACUUGGAGUUUUGCGGCCGUGGGGAAAACACCUCUGAAGUGUGGAAUUCUCCUUUGAGUGAGCUAGGUCCUUUCUUUUAAGCGGGACCCAUGGACCAGCAACAGCAGCAUCACCUGGGACCUUGUUAGAAAUGCAGACCCUGGACCCUACCCUACCUGCUGAAACAGAAUUCACCUUUCAAAAGAUGCUCUGGUGAUGAGGAUACACAUUAAAGUUUGAGAAGCCCUG
rnacentral:lncRNA from 1 species